AUGUAAGAGGUGUUUAAAUGUAAUUUAAGGGGAGUUCCUGUCCUGGUGCAGCAGAAAUGAAUCCGACUAGGAACCAUGAGGUGCAGGUUUGAUCCCUGGCCUCGCUCAGAGGGUUAAGGACCUGGCAUUGCUUGAGCUGUGGUGUAGGUUGCAUACGCCGCUCAGAUCUAGUGUUGCUGUGGCUGUGGUGUAGGCCGGCAGCCGCAGCUCUGAUUAGACCCCUAGCCUGGGAACCUCUAUAUGCUGCGAGUGCAGCCCUAAAAAACAAACAAAAAAAAUGUAACUUAAUGUAAGCUAUUUGGCAAUAGACUCUGUGGUCAAAAUGUCAUAAGAUAUAUAUCAAAACCUUUAAGAAAAACAUAUAUGAAUCAAUACGUGCAAACAUUAUGACACAUUCCUAACAUAUAGCACUGUUUUUUCUUUUUUGGUGGUAUCUCUGCCUGGUUUUGGAAUGAGGGUGAUGGUGGCCUCAUAGAAUGUCUUUGGGAGUAUUCCUUCUUCUUCAACCUUUUGAAAGAGUUUAAGGAGGAUGGGCACCAAUUCCUCUUUAUAUGUUUGAUAGAAUUCACCUGUGAAGCCAUCUGGUCCUGGGCUUUUAUUUGUAGGGAGUGAUUUUAUGACCUCUUCAAUUUCAUUUCUAGUGAUUGGUCUGUUCAGUUGGUCUGUUUCUGCUUGAUUCAGUUUUGGCAGGCUGUAAGAUUCUAGAAAAUUGUCCAUUUCUUCCAGAUUGUCAAACUUAUUGCCAUAUAGUUGUUCAUAGUAUUCUCUUAUGGUUUUUUGUAUUUCUGCUGUAUCCGUUGUGAUUUCUCCUUUUUCAUUUAUAAUUUUGGUGAUUUGGGUUCUUUCUCUCCUCUUUUUAGUGAGUCUGGCCAGGGGUUUAUCAAUUUUGUUCACCUUUUCAAAGAACCAGCUCUUGGUUUUAUUAAUUUUCUCUAUUGUUUUUUGAGUCUCUAUUUUAUUGAUUUCUUCUUUGAUCUUUACAAUUUCCUUCCUUCUGCUGACUUUAGGACUUCUUUGUUCUUCUUUUUCUAAUUCAUUUAGGUGGAGGGUUAAGUUGUCAAUUUGGGAUCUUUCUUCUUUUUUGAGAAAGGCCUGGAUUGCUAUAAAUUUCCCUCUGAGCACUGCUUUCGCAGCAUCCCAUAGAUUUUGAGAGGUUGUGUCUUCAUUAUCAUUUGUUUCAAGGUAGUUUUUAAUUUCCUUCUUGAUUUCCUCAUUGACCCAUUGGUUUUUUAGUAGCAUGUUGUUUAGUCUCCAUGGAGUAGGUUUUUUCUCUUUCCUUUUCCCAUGGUUGAUUUCUAAUUUCAUGGCAUUGUGGUCAGAGAAGAUACUUGAGAUAAUUUCUAUGCUCCUAAAUUUAUUGAGAUUCGCUUUGUGUCCCAAUAUGUGGUCGAUUCUUGAGAAUGUUCCAUGAGCAUUUGAGAAGAAUGUGUAUUCUGCUUUUUUUGGAUGUAGUGUCCUGAAGAUAUCAAUUAAGUCUAACUUUUCUAUUGUUUCCUUUAGGAUCUCUGUUGCUUUAUUGGUUUUCUGUCUAGAGGAUCUGUCCAUUGAUGUGAGGGGGGUAUUUAGGUCUCCUACUAUGAUUGUAUUCUCAUCAAUAUCUCCCUUUAUGUCUGUUAAUAUUUGUUGUAUGUAUCUGGGUGCUCCUGUAUUUGGGGCAUAUAUGUUGACAAUAGUAAAAUCCUCUCCUUGGAUGGAUCCCUUAAUCAUUAUAUAGUGUCCUUCUUUGUCUUUCUUUAUGCCUUUUGUUUUAAAGUCUAUUUUGUCUGAUACGAGUAUUGCAACUCCUGCUUUCCUGUCAUGUCUAUUGGCAUGAAAUAUUUUUUACCACCCCUUCACUUUCAAUCUAUAUGUAUCCUUUGUCCUAAGGUGAGUUUCUUAUAGGCAGCAUAUUGAAGGUUUUUGCCUUUUUAUCCACUCAGCCACUCUGUGUCUUUUGAUUGGAGCAUUCAGUCCAUUGACAUUUAAGGUGAUAAUUGAUAGGUGAUUAUUUAUUGCCAUUUUAAACCUUGUGUUCCAGUUGAUUCUGUGGUUCUCCAUUCUUCUAUUUCUAUUAGCUUAAAUACUUAAUUAGGAUAGCUAACAAAUAAACAUCUUACUGAAUUCAUGCUUCCAGGUUUAUCAAGUGCCCAACAGAUUACUCGCUGUUUGGACUUGAGCAGUGAAAAUGUAGGAUGAGGUGGUGGAUUCAUUUCUGUCAUGGGAGAUGCUUUCUGAAAUCAUCAAAGUCUGCGAUCACAGCCCAUGUGCUUCUGCCCUUGCAGAUUGUCUUGCAGGUUUGGAGCUUCUGUAUUGUGUGUUUUUGCCGCACAAAAUUCGGUCACCUGGAAAAAUCAGUUGAAAGACCAUAAUAUGGUACCUAAUGAGACAUCACCUUCCUUUCCAAAUACACAUCCUUCACAGCAUUUUGUCUCCUGACGACUUAAAGUUACUUCAGAAUCUGACAUCACUGGCACACUCGAGUGGAGAGGAAACAGUCAAGCCAUCAGUGUGCUCUGGAAAAGUAUUUGGCAGUUCUUCUCGGCACAGGUGGAUCAUGGCUCUGCGGUUGGGGGGAUGAUGUUGGCUCAGCUGCUUAAGUUAACUUCUUACUUUCCUGUCUAGACUCGUGGGGGCUCAAGCCUUGAAAUAAGUUUAAUGGAAAAAGGUACAGGAUUUGCAGUAAUUUUUAGCUGCCCCCUAAAAGAGGGAUAAAGAAAAUGGCCUUCUUUGGUUGCCCAAGUAUUUUCUGUGUCUUUAUAGUUUAUUGAAAAACUUGAGAACAGAUAUUCUAACAACCUCAAAUGUUAUUGGCUCUGAUGAACUCAGAGAUAAAUAAAAUAAUACUCCUGAAAAAGUAAUGAAAAUGGUGAGACAAAAAUAAGGAAAUGUGGUUGCUUCUCUUUUAGUUGCAAAUGGUAAGUUGUAUCCAGUAAUUCUGCCCCCUCAUGUUUCAUUACUAUAGAAUCUGUGAAAAUCCUUCAAGUUUUGAAAACUUAGUAAUUUGGAAAAAUACCAGCAUAAACUAGUAUAGCGUUCGGGAAGAAUUUGUCUUGCAGUAAAGCUGCAGCUUUAUAAAUAUUAUUUCAUUUUUUUAAUGCCACCCCCCAAUACAAAUCUCCAGCUGUAAGCUCAGAUUUAGAACUAAACUAUUAAAUUUGAAUGCCUUUUAUUCA
rnacentral:lncRNA from 1 species